GAGAUCUGCUAUACAACCCUCACUGCUGUUCUUCCAUCUGUUCCUCAUUGACAGGACAUAUUUCUGUCCUGUGAGGUUCAGCUUGGUAACAGCCCUGAUGCUCAAUUUGCUGUCCUGGGAAGCUCAACUGUUAGUCCUGAACUUUCCUUAAUCCCUUUUCUAUUUCAGCAACACAAGAGGAUAUGACCAGAUAUGAAGCCCGCUGAAACCAAGCUGAGAGGUUGAGCCUUUGGCUGCAGUGCUAUCCAUCUCAGUUGCUCCAGAAUGAAAGGCUACAUCACCUCUGCUGCUAGUCCAUGUGAUGGAGUGCAGAUGAAAGAAACAGCCCUGAGUGACUUGGUGGGAAAUCCUGUGCCCUGCUUAUAUACCUCUGGAAGUAAGCAAAACUCAGAGACGCUGGCUCUUAUCCUGUUUUAUGGAAAAGGGAAGAUUGUGCAGCAGUCCUGUAUGCCAGGUGAGGCAGAGACAGGCUCCUCAAACUCUGCUUGUCCUGAGAAGAAUUAAGAGGGGAUUAUGGGUUUGGUAGAGCUAAACUCAGCAAUCAGUGUGCUCCACAGCCUCACUGCCUCUGCAUGCUGAAUGGGAGCAGAUCAACAAGCUCUAUCUGCUAAUCCUUAUCCCUUUCUUUCUGAACAUCUUCUGUGUGACAAGAAGAGAGCACGGGUCACAUUCUGCCCUCGUCCCUUCUGUCACAGUUGCAGAUCAAGACAUACUUCGUCAAAGCUUGCAUGGCACUCAACAAAAAUAGCCAUAGCACAAUAAAAGCCACCAAACAGUUAAUAAACUGUGAAAU
rnacentral:lncRNA from 1 species